UUUUUACGCCUUGUUAUGUGGCUUUUAACAACAGAUGGAUCAAACCCUAAAAAUCUGGUUUGUUCGUCAAAUAUGGGACAAGAUACGCACCAGUUUGACCUUGUGAGAAAGAUGCACAUUUAUUUUUCUAUUUUUCUUCUUUUUUCAUUUUUCACAGACAACAUUCUAAUGUGCCUACAGUGACUUUAUCAGCGUUUGUAUUUUUACCAAACGCUCCUGUAAUUAACCCUUAACAUCCAUUAAAAUGCAUGUAGAGUUCAUAUUAUAAAGGAGACACUGCACAUGGAUGCAUCCUAAUUAUAAUUAGAACUUGGGGGGGGGGGGGGGGGGGUUAUCACUGCGACCUAUAAACAAAGCAAAGACAAAAUGAUAAAAAGUCAGAAAUUGCAUGACAAUAAAUUCGUGCGUUUAGCAGCUCAGCUCCAUAAUGACCAUGUGUGAACACUGCAGCAAAAUUAAAACAGGGGGGUGGGCUGUUACAGUAGGGUCAUUUAUGCAACCGUCAGCACCAAAAGCACCAUUUAUGAUCAUAUUAAUAUCACAUUUGGAUGCAUUUACCAGCCUUUAAAUGCAUUUGCUCUAUAUUAUUUCCUUCUGUUUUAUUCUGUGAAUUUUUCUUAUCGAAGAAAACAAUGUUUUUGCAUCAAUGUUAUAGGAGAACGUUAUUUUUUUACAAUACAUUCAAUUAGUCGCGGAUGGAUUUUAUUUAUCUGUGCCUUAGUAAGUUUAUAGAAAAUAAUAAAACUGGUUAUUUAAUAAGAUAAUGACAAUUAUUUACAUUUAAAUAUAUUAUUAACGGUUGACGGUGCCACCCGCAGACACACAGGAGGAUGUUUUUGUAGGCCUACAUAUACUAUGUCUUCUAAAAGGAAAAAAAAAAAAAAAAAAAAUGGAGGAGGGAAGGACAGAGGGAUAAAACAACGGAAAAGGUGAGUUCGCUUUUUGCUUCAUUUUAUGGCGCACUUUCAGUAACAAAACAAAACAAAACAAAACAAAACAAAAAUGGAAGAGGAAAAACAACGGAAAAGUUUUGCAAUCUUUAAAAAUAAUUAUUUAACAAAUCAAGUCCGUUUUGCUUUUUUAUGUCAUCCUGGAAGCCUGCUUAAAAAAAAAAAAAGCCAUUUAAAAAUAUAUAAAUAAAAAGGUUUUGACCAUUAAACUGUAUUAAAUAUCGCAGUAGUAUAACAGAAAAUCUAUGUCAAAAGCUUAAAAGGUUAUUAUACAAAAAAUAAUAAUAAUGAUCAGAAGCGGCAGUGA